GUAGCUAGGAAGCUGGUUGUCUGCAUUAAGCAGAGGAAGGUCCGCUCACCCCUUGAAAGAGGAAGUGGCUGGUUUUCGAAAGAAAACUUGUCGUGAGGCAAAGCUCUGUCACAGAAACGACACAGUCUCUGUGGAGAUAUGAAACUUGCGUUGAUCUACGAAGCAGAGAAUUUGAUGAAACGGGCAACUCAGUCGGUGCAACUCGUGAAGAGGCUUAGUAGGAUGCCAGUAUGGUUGAUUUGAAGCUAAAACUUCAAGAGCCAACAAAAAGUGGCCUAAUCCUAGCUAC
rnacentral:RNase_P_RNA from 1 species